GAUGAACGCUGGCGGCGUGCCUAAUACAUGCAAGUCGAGCGAACAGACGAGGAGCUUGCUCCUCUGACGUUAGCGGCGGACGGGUGAGUAACACGUGGAUAACCUACCUAUAAGACUGGGAUAACUUCGGGAAACCGGAGUUAAUACCGGAUAAUAUAUUAAACCGCAUGGUUCAAUAGUGAAAGACGGUUUUGCUGUUACUUAUAGAUGGAUCCGCGCCGCAUUAGCUAGUUGGUAAGGUAACGGCUUACCAAGGCAACGAUGCGUAGCCGACCUGAGAGGGUGAUCGGCCACACUGGAACUGAGACACGGUCCAGACUCCUACGGGAGGCAGCAGUAGGGAAUCUUCCGCAAUGGGCGAAAGCUUGACGGAGCAACGCCGCGUGAGUGAUGAAGGUCUUCGGAUCGUAAAACUCUGUUAUUAGGGAAGAACAAAUGUGUAAGUAACUAUGCACGUCUUGACGGUACCUAAUCAGAAAGCCACGGCUAACUACGUG
rnacentral:rRNA from 1 species